UUUUCACAGGUUUAGAGUCAGACGGUGAGUCAGAAGGACACACAGAAAGUGACAAAUCUUCCCGAUGUGCAGGUCGGAUCAUUUCACUCCCAGCUCAAGCUUCUUAAAGGGACACCUCCUCCCCUCAAAUGCCACAAAAGAAAUGAAGAUACCAGAAAUUGGGGUAGCAUUGGACCUGAGUUCCAGUGCACCAGCGGUCCGCGGGUGCUCAUCAGGUGCUGCCACCUUAACAAUGGGGCAUGUGCUCCCAGUCGGCACAGGCCCCAUGCUCCCUGGCCUGGCCUGCUUCCCCCACUUACCACUUGCCUGGCCCCCGUUUGUCACCUCUGAUGAUUUCUCCCUACAAACCUACCCUCUUGCUGUUCUCUUUAACCAGAAAGCUUUUCCGUUCCUCCAAUGUCACAUUUUUUAAGGUUCUUUAACCCCCAAAUGCAAAAUUCUUUACUCUCUCUCGACAAAUGCUUCUACUGUAGCAAUUAACAAAGAGGUUUGUGUGCAUGUCCUGAGCUGCCCCCAGAUUCAAGCUCCUGGAGGCCGGAGACUCUGCCCAGGGUAACUCUCGGAUUUUCACCUACGAGGAGCUUUGGGGCAGUAAUCUGACUGGAAGGGACAACCACCGGGGGGCUUGUCCUGAAACCAUGUGCGUACAGCAAGUGUGGACACGCUUCUCUUACUUAGAUUCUGAGUUUGUUUGGGGUGGCUCGAGCAAACACGCUGUCUGGCACCACAGAGAAUGUAAAACUGAAUGUGACGCGGUCAAUGUCAGUGCCAUACCACGCUCUCGGGGUCUGGGUUUCGGUGACUUGGAGGUUCUUGCUCUUCCGUAAGUGGUUUUCCUUGCAGGUUUAGUGCAGCUCACUCGGGAGAGUGCUGUUUGCACGGGGGCUCGGGACUGGAUCCUCCGGCUUUCGCCUGAGGCUGAGAAGUGUGCUGCUAGGGUAUCUGUCGGGGUCAGUGUCCUGAAGCCGAUUGACUUCAGGUCUCCAAACUUUACAGUGAUUAUUAAAUUGACUCUUGGAUUCAACAGGGCACUCAUGUGCUCAGGACCCUCCAUGAGCCUCCAAGGCCCUACCCUAACCCCCCUUCUCAGGACUCUCUACAGCCUCCAAGGCCCUGCCC